ensembl:snoRNA SNORD15 Small nucleolar RNA SNORD15
CUUCAGUGACGAUCCGAUGACGAGUCAGACGGUGACGUCCUCGUGUCAGCGCAGCCUGCUCAGUGCCACGUUCUGUGGUGCUGUGACAAGGCCACGUUGGGCAGGACGUCCUACGCAUUGGAUGAUUUCGAGGCAUUUGUCUGAGAAGG